UCCCCCCCUUCCCCUCUACCCACUUCCUAAAAGCGCACCAAGUCCCAUCCUAUUCGUCUUGUAGCAAGUCCUGUGUGUUCAAAACUCCUUCCCUUUUUCUCUCCUGUCCCCAUCCACCUUCCUACACAAUGGUGUUCUAUCCAAACAGGAAUAGGGAGAAAAAAGCUAGGUGUGGAAGCAAUAUAGUCAUAGUUGGGAUAAAAGGAAGCCAUGAGUAAAUCAACAUAUUUGGGCAGGGAGAUGGGGAAAAACUGUUAAUAAAAUAUAUAUCACCAGAUGCAGUUGAGUAUUGCAUGUUUAAUGAGCAGGGAAAUAUACUCAGCCUUUAAGUACUCUCUGAAGUGCUUUCAAGAGCUUAGGCAAACUUGUAUUUUGUGCAAAUCAAAGCUGUCUAUUUAAAAUGCAUCAUCCUCUUAAUUUUCACAAAUAUUAAAGCAAAAGUCAGAGUGAAGAAAGCACAUUGUCUGUAGGGGGAAAGAGGGAGGAAUAUUAAUAAUGUCUUCCUAAUUUAUUUUAGGUACAAAUGACUUUAUAAACUUCUUGCUGUUUGGUGGUUUUUGAGAAAAGGGGUGGCCAAAGGUGUCUCUAAUCAACACUACAUCCAAAAGGGGGAGCUAUGUGACCAGAGUUGCUACCAAGAGCACCGCUGAUACUUCAGUAGCAAUGAUCAGGAGUGUUAACCUCUGGUUCCAGUGCCUAACAUUGAAGACAAUGAGGCAUCACAGCUGAAAACGAAAGAUCCCUGACUCAUAUAAUAUACACGGUGAAUACGUCACUUACAGGUAUACUUCUAAAAAAAAUCUUCACAUCAAUCACAGGAAGAAACAUUGUGGUUUUUUUAAAACACAAGUCAGUAAAGAAGACGUGGCACAUAUAUACAAUGGAAUAUUACUCAGCCAUAAAAAGAAAUGAAAUUGAGCUAUUUGUAUUGAGGUGGAUAGACCUAGAGUCUGUCAUACAGAGUGAAGUAAGUCAGAAAGAAAAAGAUAAAUAUCGAAUGC